GGGAUGGAUAACAUUGGAACAGUGAUUUCUGCAAGCAGCACCUAGAAGAGAGAGCUGCUGGCUUUCACAUCAUUAAUGAGGAAGUACUUUCUCCCAGCUUUUUAUUCUUUUACUCCGUCUCUUCUAAGCCAAUGCUUGCUUCCCAAGAACUAGCACGGCCUGAUCCUUACACAGACAAUUAUGACACAGAGAGAGGUUUCAGUCCCCGCAGUGCCAUCUACUGCUGAGAUAAGUUUGAAUGCUGGAUUUAUUAUUUCUUUGGGGGAAAAUUCUCAGGGACCAGCAUCUGCAGGUGGAACACAAGCUCAGGGGGAAAAAAUAAAUGGCUGCAAAAGCCCAGCAAUCUGGCUAAAGUCUCUCUACCCAUACAUAGCUGACACCAAAAGGAAAAAAAUAAAUCCUAAACUAGGAUCCAUCAUUUGUAAUCUUACAUUACUGAAACCAAAUCUUUCUUUGAUCACUCCUCAUUCACUCAAGACAAUUCAUUAUUCAGCCAGUGGGAAUUGUCUCAGCUCCAGUGAAAGCCAGGGAGUUAUACCAGCUGCUAUCCGCUGAACUUCUGGCUCAGAACUGUUAAGAGAAAGCUAUGCAGAUUUGCUUAUUUGUUUUGGAAACAAGGAUAAAUUACUUCUGCCAACCAAACCUACAGCCUUGCUUAUUUCUGAGUGAUGAGAAGUCACUUCACUAUUCUAAGAAUAAUGAUUAAGCAAUAUGGCAAGUGAGGGACAGCUGAGGUAGGUUCUUGGCAUCUCUAGUUUAAGUUUUCAUGGGUGUUGAAGUUCUGGCAUGACUUUACCAAGCUACUUCUAGCAAGGGAAGAGGUGUCUAAGGUAGUCUUUAAGAUUCCCAAAAAUAAGGAAAGAAUACAAAAAUA